CAGCAGCCGCGGUAAUACGUAGGGUGCGAGCGUUAAUCGGAAUUACUGGGCGUAAAGCGUGCGCAGGCGGUUAUAUAAGACAGAUGUGAAAUCCCCGGGCUCAACCUGGGACCUGCAUUUGUGACUGUAUAGCUAGAGUACGGUAGAGGGGGAUGGAAUUCCGCGUGUAGCAGUGAAAUGCGUAGAUAUGCGGAGGAACACCGAUGGCGAAGGCAAUCCCCUGGACCUGUACUGACGCUCAUGCACGAAAGCGUGGGGAGCAAACAGGAUUAGAUACCCCUGUAGUCCCUGUCUCUUAUAC
rnacentral:rRNA from 1 species